rfam:Peptococcaceae bacterium BRH_c8a BRHa_1004387, whole genome shotgun sequence.
GGGGCGGUAACCUUUUGGUAGCGCACCCGAAAUGUACCGGUUUGUUUGAUGUUUGGGUAAUGGUAAUGCCGCUUGGAGCCGGAACGGACCGAGACGGGUUA